rnacentral:lncRNA from 1 species
GCCACCUCCGCUUCCCCAAACUGUAGCACGCCGGGCGUCGAAGGUCAUUGGCAGGCAGGCAUGAAAACGAUAAAAUACCAUUGCGGCAGCAUGAGGUAACAAAAGAGUAACGCGCAGCGUGCUUCGCUGUGCAGUGUGCACUGUUGCCUGCUUUCUGAAAACCAAAAGACACGUUACAAGCGUCGCUCCGUUGUCCACUGCUGCACCUGUCACAGGACAUAAGAGAAAGUCACACGAUAUCAAACACAGAGAAUAAAAUGCAAUCACUGCAGCUAGCGACUACAGUCUUCAACAUCUCACAAUAGCUACCAACUAUUGUCCAAAGGCAAAAUACAAUAAAAGAGUAUGAAGAAAAGAUUAAAAAGUCUUUUGUGAAGGUGAACACCAUGCUCCAAGAGUCAGUUAGUUAUCAAAAUGAAUUUCAUAAAUUUCUGAAAAAAUAUUCUUCUGAGUCACAGAAGCGGUAUAUGACUAUUAAAGAAGAGGUACAAGCACUGUCUACUUGUUCUAAGAAGAUGUGUGAGAGUCUAGAUGAGAUUGCUAGCUACAAAGAAGAUAUUUGCUCACAAAAAAUUCAAGAAACAAAGAAGCUGCUGUACAAGGAAGCAGAUCAGAUGAUUGCAAGAGAAACAAACAGAAAUCGUGCUCUUGUUCGUGAAAAAGUUGGUCAUGCCUUAAGUAAAAGAAAAUAAAAAAGAAUUUUUUAUAUACUUUCCCUUGAAGAUACUGCAGCACUGUUUCACCAUGACAAAAAGCUGCAGUCUCCUUAAAAGACCAAAUGUGGAUGUUACUGAAGUAAAAGCUAUAGUCAGUUGUACAAUACAAAUGGAAUGACUAUUCGUUAUUAUUCAGAAGCAAUAUUAUGUUUAAACAGGAUGAUUUUUUUCCUUAAUAGUACACUGUCAUUAAAAGUGAAAACUGCACUCAGGAAUAAAUUUUUUAUCUUGCUCUUUCAGAACCAGAACAGCAUUCUUUCCAUUUGCAACAGGAAGUAUGUGAAUGGAAAGACAGGCUGUCAGUAUCAUCAACAAAAAGACUCAUUAGAUCGAUGACUUUACAGACUGUUAUGGAAAGACGGAAUAACUGGAGUCUCUUCCAUGACAAGAAAUAGUACAUUGGCUGUUAGAUUAUAAUCAGUCAGCCAAUAAUCAAUGAUCACAUACUGUAAUUUGGUAAAACUAGUGCAACAUAAAAUACAGCAAGGAGAACUAGAGAAAUAUAGUUUCUCUUACAGGAAAGGAGAGACAGAAUGAUCAGAGGGUGGCUGAUAUGUGACUAAAAUUAAAGAGAAAGCAGAUCUUUCCUCACGUAUGAGAGAGGGAGAAAUAGGUAUACUACUUUAGAUAAACAGUUUAACCAAAGAGAAAUCAGGAAAUUUGCCAUGACUAAAACAUUUGUCCAAGAUGAUGCUUUCAUUUGCAGAUCUCAGAUGGAGCAGUAUAUCCAAAAGAACCAACUAGCAAAGAAUUAAAACAAAUGUUGAGUGGUAGUCCAUAAAUGAUAUAAUUUCAGAAUACACUCUUUCUGCAUCCAUUGUUGUUAAACUAUACUGUACAUUAAUUUUUCCAGUUUAUAGCAAACAUCAUUCAACACUGUAUGUGGACAUACUCAGUUACAGCUCCUAUGAUGCACAAAUAAAUACAGGAAAUGCUUUCCAUUGCCACUUUAUUAAUAAAUUAAUGUAAAAAUCCAUCAUUAAUUUAACAGCCCCCCACAAUUAACUGAAAUUACUUGCAGUUUUACUUACAGUUGUCUCCCUAAGAUGUGUUUGUCAGCUGCUAUUUAUUUUGCACAAACUUUCAUAGACUUUCCUUUUGCCAACCUUGAAUUGCACUCUCAACCAACUACCUCACAAAUGUUGGGUGAUUACAUACGUUAACAACCAAUCUUUAGUAUUCCCUCCAUUUCUUAUCUCAGUUUGGAUCUUUCCCUGACUGCUCUCUCCUUAUGAUUAAUUGUGCUUCUAUUCUUUCUUUGUUUUUCUCAUUUUAUGUCUUCAUUACUACUUCAUGUUUCAAACGCCAUGUUAUUAAUCAGGUUUUUGUGUUUACUCAUCAUGUUAUUUAAAGGUUUGCAUUAUCUUUAUUUUACAAAAAUAUAUGUUAUCAGUCAGGUUUGUCAUGCUUACUCAUCAGUUCAUCUCACACUCAUCAGUUCAUCUCAUCUUCUGAAUGUUCACAUUACCUUGAUUUUAGCAAUCAUUUUAUUGACAGUCAACAGAUUUGUACUCUCAACACCUUUCUGGUAACUUCCGUAUUUUGUUUGAAUCUUACAGAGUUUACAUAUUUUUUCUUCCUUUUUAUUAUUGCCUACUAACGAAAACGUUUUUGGUCAUUGAAGCUCAAAUAUUUGAUUAUAGUUUUCUAUAUGAUUGCAUUUUUUACUGUUAAUACUUUUACCCUCGAACAAUUUGCUUUAAACUGUACUUUAUAUUCUUAUUGAUUCAUCUGCCCUGAAUUGCAGCAAGAAAAUGUACAAUAAAUAAAGUAAAUAUGUCUACAGGAAGUCAUCUGAAUUGUGUUAAACUUAGUCAUUGGAAUCAUGUGGUAACAAGUAAUAAAUGUUGUCAAGGCGUAUGUACUGGUAUGGUGUACCAACAUUUAAGUACAUUGUAAUUGCAGUAACUUAAGUUGUUCAUAUAUGAACAUGAGUCUCUGAGCAUUUUCAAAAGCAUCACAGAGAUUGAAUUAACUUGUAUUUAAAUUAUUUUUGUUACAAGGUGUCAGACUCACAUAACUUCAUGAAACAUCAGAUAUUUACAGACCUGCUGUAAGGUAGAUAAUGGUAUGUCCACACUUGCCAUUACACCUUUAUAGAUUUAAGUUUCAAUAGUUGAGUGCAGUAUUCUUAUCAAAAUACACUGUGGAAUAAUAAGUUUCUAUUGUCAGCAGGGCAUUGUAUAUGUAUCUUCAAAUAUACCUCAGUAAGUAAAUAAGUAUUGUGUAAUUAAUUGUCUUGGUGAUUUCAUAAACCAUUUCUUUAUGUUUUGUAUCUGUUUGAACUGAGAGUUCAUUGCACAUGAGAUGUCUAAUGUUAACUUCUGUUCAUUUGUUAGUGUACAGAAAAAUGCAGAUC